rnacentral:lncRNA from 1 species
CCCCAAGCAUUACAUUAUUGCUGUUUACAGUUUAUCUACAUCUAUAAUAAUAUUCAAGAUAAUAACCAAAAACAGCAAAAUUUCCUUAAAAUUACCAAAUUCAGGGGCGGCAACCCAACAACGGGUUGUCCGAUUCAUCUAAAAAUUUCAGGGCAGAUAGAUCUUGACCUGAUAAACAAUUUUACUCCUGUCAGAUUUGCUCUAAAUGCUUUGGUUUUUGAGUUAUAAGCUAAAAACUGCAUUUCACCCCUAUGUUCUAUUUUUAGCCAUGGCGGCCAUCUUGGUUGGUUAGCCGGAUCACCGGACACAAUUUUUAAACUAGAUACCCUAAUAAUGAUUUUGGCCAUGUUUGAUUAAAUUUGGCCCAGUAGUUUCAGAGGAGAAGAUUUUUGUAAAAGAUAACUAAGAUUUACGGAAAAUGGUUAAAAAUUGACUAUAAAGGGCCAUAACUCCUAAAGGGGUCAACUGACCAUUUCGGUCAUGUUGACUUAUUUGUAAAUCUUACUUUGCUGAACAUUUUUGCUGUUUACAGUUUAUCUCUAUCUAUAAUAAUAUUCAUGAUAAUAACCAAAAACAGCAAAAUUUCCUUAAAAUAACCAAUUCAGAGGCAGCAACCUAACAAUCGGUUGUCUGAUUCAUCUGAAAAUUUCAGGGCAGAUAGAUCUUAACCUGAUAAACCAUUUAACCUCUGUCAGAUUUGCUCUAAAUGCUUUGGUUUUUGAGUUAUAAGCCAAAAACUGAUUUUACCCCUAUGUUCUAUUUUUAGCCAUGGUGGCCAUCUUGGUUGGUUGGCCGGGUCACCGGACACAAUUUUUAAACUAGAUACCCCAAUGAUGAUUGUUGCCAAGUUUGGUUCAAUUUGGCCCAGUAGUUUCAGAGGAGAAGAUUUUUGUAAAAGAUAACUAAGAUUUACGGAAAAUGGUUAAAAAUUGACUAUAAAGGGCCAUAACUCCUAAAGGGGUCAACUGACCAUUUGGUCAUGUUGACUUAUUUGUAAAUCUUACUUUGCUGAACAUUUUUGCUGUUACAGUUUAUCUCUAUCUAUAAUAAUAUUCAUGAUAAUAACCAAAAACAGCAAAAUUUCCUUAAAAUUACCAAUUCAGGGGCAGCAACCUAACAACGGGUUGUCCGAUUCAUCUGAAAAUUUCAGGGCAGAUAGAUCUUGACCUGAUAAACAAUUUUACCCCG